UGCAGAGCAAAAAACAUCAGCAUUUUAUUAAUUUUAUAUAACAAAAAACAGUUCAUACGAGGCAUAUUUUUUAAAAAUUAAAAAACAAAAGGCUUACAUUUUUAUUAAAUUAGGUGUCUUUCAGUGCUUAAUUAAAGAGGUUUUCUUCAGUGUAAUCUCUGGGAUCUGGACCCAAGACUGACCACCCUACUCCCCAGAUAGUUUGCCGCGAAUCCCCAUUAAAUGCGCACCGACCGAAAGGAUGUUGGCUGAGAUAAGCAGGCAAAUAAGUUGCUGGAGAAGACCGGACGAGGAUCGGAAAUGCGAAACCGGGUAAUGGAAAAUGGAUGAAAGCAACAUCCAAAUGAUCUUCA